rnacentral:rRNA from 1 species
GACGAACGCUGGCGGCGUGCUUAAUACAUGCAAGUCGAACGCAAAGGCCAGGCUCUUGCUGGUCUUGGGUGGGUUGCGGGGGGGUGAAUAACGCGUGUAUCACCUCCCUGCUAGCGGGUGAUAUCUAGUAAAAACGGGAGAUAAUACCGCAUAAAAUCUUUUACCGCGUGGGGGUUUGGUAAAUUACGGAGGAUGGGGAGGACCGGGCGGCUUUUCGGCUUCUUGGUGGGGUGGUGACUUACCAGGGCUUUGACGGGUAGCCGGCCUGAGAGGGUGACCGGCCACAUUGGGACUGAGAUACGGCCCAGACUGCUACGGGAGGCAGCAGUGGGGAAUAUUGCGCAAUGGGCGGAAGCCGGAUACAGCGACGCCGCGUGCGGGAUGACUGCUUUCGGGGUGUAAACCGCUUUCGACUGUGACGAAGAGUGAGUGACGGUAACGUGUAAAGAAGCACCGGCUAACUACGUG